rnacentral:rRNA from 1 species
CCAGACUCCUACGGGAGGCAGCAGUGGGGAAUAUUGCACAAUGGGGGAAACCCUGAUGCAGCAACGCCGCGUGAGUGAAGAAGUAUUUCGGUAUGUAAAGCUCUAUCAGCAGGGAAGAAGAUGACGGUACCUGACUAAGAAGCCCCGGCUAACUACGUGCCAGCAGCCGCGGUAAUACGUAGGGGGCAAGCGUUAUCCGGAUUUACUGGGUGUAAAGGGAGCGUAGACGGCAUGGCAAGCCAGAUGUGAAAGCCCAGGGCUCAACCCCGGGACUGCAUUUGAAACUGUCAGGCUGGAGUGCAGGAGAGGUAAGUGGAAUUCCUAGUGUAGCGGUGAAAUGCGUAGAUAUUAGGAGGAACACCAGUGGCGAAGGCGGCUUACUGGACUGUACCUGACGCUGAGGCGCGAAAGCGUGGGUAGCGAACGGGAUUAGAUACCCUUGUAA